CAGAAUUUACCCGAAAAAUGUUUGGUUUAUUGGAUUGGUGAGAAGCGGUGGUCGAUUGUAAGCACAUCUGCGUUGAUUAGAGAAUGACAUGCCUGGCGAUUGCAUACAUACCAAAUUCCAGGGAAAAUGGCAUCCUUCGUUGAUAAUUGCAAGUGGCCAUGUGCAUUUUAGUUUUAUUCUAAAAUGAUCUGAGAUAGACCAAAAUGAUCCACAGCUGACCAAAGUGAUGACGCCACUGUUGCUCCUACAGACGACAGUAUAACAGUCACAUCUCAAUACACAUGGAAAGGAGGAGGGAUGGGAAAGAGUCACAAAGGCCCUGAAUGACAAGGUUAGGAAGCAAAUAGUCAAGCUGGAAUAAAGAGGCUGUGCUGACAUGGACACAUACGUCUUGUCAAAUUUCAAUGUUUUAAUAAAACUUCGAUUAAGUACUUGUUUCAGUUAUCCUUAGGUGGGUGAAGUAAAAGUGAAAUAUAUACUUUUGUUCUUCUGUAAUUUGAAUAAUUAUGCAGUCACAAAGCACAAUGCAAAGUUUGUACACUUUUGUUAGCUUACCUGAGCCAAAGGCUCAUGGUGAGCUUUUGUGACCGCUUAAUGUCCGUUGUCAGUUGUCCAGUUGUGUGUCGUGCGUCCGUCAACAUUUCAGUGGAAUACUGCUGGUAUGCCACUGGUAUUCCACUGAAAGAUCAGGUAUGCCACUGGUAUUCCACUGAAAUAUCAGGGGGUAUUUCAGUGAAGUACUGCCGGUAUGCCAGUGGCAUUUCACUGUUAUACCAGCGGUAAACUUUUAGUGGAAUCCAGUGAAAUCUACCACUGGUAUACCAUUUAAAUACCAAUGGAAUACCUUCAUGAAGAGUUCAUGAAGACAAGCAUUCAAUGUUUUAUGAAGUUCGAAAUGAAUAUUUCUUCAUGAAUUGUUCAUGAAGAAGAAGUGAACAGAAAAUGGGACGUUAGAUUUGUGAACAAAAAAAAUCAUGAUUUCUUCAUUAAAGUUGCUUAAGAAUUUUUCUGCAUGAAGUAUUCAUGAAGGGACAGUUUCUUGAAUUUAUUAAGAGUUAUUCUGCAUGAAGACAUCAUGAAAUCUUCAUGCUUUUUUUCAUUAGGACAAACUGCUUGAUUUUAGGAAUUUAUUAUGAAGUCUCAACUUCAUAAAAAAUUCAUGAAUCUGCAUUUUAUGAAUUUUUUAUGAUUAUGUCCCAUUUUCUGUUCACUUCUUCUUCAUGAAGAUUUCAUGAAGUUCCUUCUUGAAGACUUCAUGCAUAUUUCAUGAAGACUUCAUGAAGAAUAACUAAACAUUUCGCCGGGGCAGUUAGGUACACAGUACCAAGAAAACAAUGAAUUGGCAGUUUUAUCCUUUCAAGUAUUUUCUCAGAAAAAGCAAAGUAACAAUCGCAUGUAACACUGACUGACUGUUUUUAUUAGAUGGUAACUUAAGAUGCAUGACAUACUAAUUUCUUUAUCACAAAGUUUAUACGGUAGUACGAUGGGUGGGGUAGCACCGAUGUCGUGAAUUCAUUUCGGACCUAUUAAAUUUUCAAAACUUCUGGAGCCCUGAAUACAUUGGACACGUUCAUUCAAACACUAGAAUAACUAUUCUUACUAACACGUUCUCACGUAAGUAUUAUCAAAUAUAAUUUCUUAAAUAUUUACCCUUCAAGAUGGAAAACUAUGUUGUCGUUUCUUCUUCCGGUUUGCUUUUCCACUGAUGUUAACAUGGUCAUUAGUUUCACUGUCAUCAACCUGUGAAACAGAAUGAAUUUGGUGAUAAAAAGUUUAAAAAAGGUACAAUAUGAAUCUAUAUCACUAAAAAUUAAAUCAAUAAGACAAGUAUGCCAAGGAGCAGAAUGUCAAGCCAAUAGCUGUCAAGUGUGACCUUGGACCUAGGGACCUGUUUCUUGAGCAUGACACUCUGUCUCAUAAUGGUGAACAUUCAUGCCAAGUUACAUCAAAAUCCCACCAUGCAUGAAGAACUGCUCCCGACAAACUUCAAUAUGACCUUUGACCUCCAACUGUGACCUUGACCUUUGAGACAGGAACAUGGGGUUUGCGCAUGACACACCUCACUGACGUAAACAUUCAUGCCAAAUAUAAACAGGAUCGGUUCAUGCAUGUAUAAGUUAUGGUCCGGACAAAAUCAGACGGACUAUAUCGAGCUCACCGCAAGUGGGCUCAACAAAAACUUGACACAAGACAAAUACAACUCUUGCAUAAUCAUUAUUUUUCAUUCUCUUAAAGCAUUCUUCUAAAUUUAAAACAUGCACAAAAAUGCUUGUGAAACGCGAUUCAGACGAGUUUUAGUUAAGUUCACACAUAUUUUGUACAGCUAGAAAUUGUGCCACAGGCCCAUGAGUAAAUGUUGUAUAUAAGCAGAAGAUAAAGAUUCUAUUCACAGUCCCUCAGAGAUGUUCUUCCAACAGCAGACAACAUGGAAACCUGUCAACAGCAAAAAAUUUCAAAUUAGAGCUACUUUGUAAUAAUCUACAUUUUAAGCCCACACAACAGUAGUACACCCAUGCAUAAAAUAAAUUUUGAGAAUUUACUGUCUUGCAUUUUAGAUGUAAACAACUCUGAAUCAGUUUCACAACAGUUUACCAUUAACCUUUAGCCUGCUAGCUACAAGUGAUUCUGCCUUUGUGACCAAUGCAGACCAUGAUCAAAAAACAGAUCCUAGGUUUUCUGCACGAGGCAUAUUAUGUUGCUAGUCAAAAUAAUUCGCCGUUGCUCCAACGUUUUUACAACGUCGGAAUAGUGACGACGGAUUUUGGUCGCUGUAAAGCCAUUGGAACAACGUCGGGAUAGCGACGUCGGACUUUGGUCGUUGGAACAACGUCGGAAUCUUUUGUCACUUCAAUAUUUCUGAUAAUUAUCAAUUAGGUGUAAUGACCAGACAGUAAGCACAGCAGCAUAGCAGUUUUCAUGUAACAGUUGUGACACAUAUGAGUUCUUACAGAAUGAAAUUUUAAAGUAAAUAUAUAUGUAGGCAGUCAUCCACAAUGUUCAGGAGAACUGUCCUGUGUGUUUUCAGUCAGUCAACAAUUCCUGGCAAAAUAUUGAUUAGUUCUGUGAAAUUUGAAGAAAAUGCAGCGAAAACUGUAAAUAAAACUAGUUAGCUCUAAAAAGAAAAUUGAUAAAAUUUUAAAAUAUACAAAUUCACAAAAUAUACAAAAUUCUUUAAAAUAAAAUUUCAAAAUGCACAAUUUUUACGAAUAUACAAUUUUCAAAUAAACAUUUUUUUUUUAAUAAUUCUAAAACUAUUCUAUUUAAAGCAUAGGUUCAGGCUUCUUCAUUUUAGUACACAGAACAAUGUCCAAGGGCUCUGUACGGAUACCAUUGUCUAACACUCGCCGUUUGCAAUAAAAGUAGGAGUAUCCGCACCUGGUCUGAUUGUAGGAAUAGACCCUGUUAUUCCUGGCGAGGAACCCCUUAUUUUCCCCAAACAUCGGCUUUCCAGUUUUCAGGACCUCUUUGAAGAUGUUAAGGGGUUCCUUGACCAGGCGCUUGGACACACCCUUGGAACUGAAUUUAAAAUCCUGCUCACUGUUUUUGACGAUGUAGGUCUUGGAGCAGAGACCAAUCAUCUCGCCUUCAUAUUCAGUUUUGAAGAGACCAGGUACUCUUGUCAUAUUUGGUGUGUUUUUGGCAGCAUUCUCUGGGGAACGAGCGAUCUCCAACGGGAUUAUACUCGUCAUGGCAUAGUCCCGUGAGUCAAUGUCGGUAUUCCUCCAGCUUUUCGGGUUU